GCAGGUUCUGUCAUGAAGCAUCAACUAUGAUGAGAUGAAGGGUGAGAUGGAACUUAUCGAGAAAAUAUUAGAGACUGAAAUAAAUAUAUUCAGUUCAAUUAGAGAUGGGACUGCACUUAUGCAGCACAUGGAAGAUUUUUACUACAUCACAUUGCUAGAGAAUGUGAGAUCGAAUUACCAAGUUGCAGCAGCAAGGGCAGUGUCAGAUGAACAAAAAAACAUAAAAAUUAGCUGAGGAUGGCAUCCAACAGGACUUAAACAUGCCUUUGAACAUUCGUAAUUGCCAAUGCUUCUAGGCAUUGUGCCUGCAACAUACCUCCAGUCAGGGACAUACCAAGCCUAUCCUUUCUGUGUGCUGGGAUCCAUCUGGUUAGAGCAUACUUACAGCAUCAAUGGAAGCAGAUUCUAUCUGGAAGGGUGUCUCUUCAGGAUUUUGUAUCUGCAAAGGAGGUUCGCCUAGGCACCUACCGUAACUAGCUCUGUUCUUGUUUUGGCAGGAUAAACAAACAAUGUUAUUGUUAAUGGGAAAUAGCAGCAGCCCAUCAUUAGCGAAGAUUCAAAGGAAGCUAUGAAGCAUGCAUUCGAACUCUUUAAUGUUCGAUUGGAAGUAGACUUUGGGACUAGUGAUAUAGGACAUAGCUUAGGAUUGUAAUGAAUAUUUGUAAUUUAUUACAUUUGUCUUUUGUUAAUGAUGAUAUAUACUAUUCUUCGAACAACAAUUUUUCAA